GGGCGUUAAGUUGCAGGGUAUAGACCCGAAACCCGGUGAUCUAGCCAUGGGCAGGUUGAAGGUUGGGUAACACUAACUGGAGGACCGAACCGACUAAUGUUGAAAAAUUAGCGGAUGACCUGUGGCUGGGGGUGAAAGGCCAAUCAAACCGGGAGAUAGCUGGUUCUCCCCGAAAGCUAUUUAGGUAGCGCCUCGUGAAUUCAUCUCCGGGGGUAGAGCACUGUUUCGGCUAGGGGGCCAUCCCGGCUUACCAACCCGAUGCAAACUGCGAAUACCGGAGAAUGUUAUCACGGGAGACACACGGCGGGUGCUAACGUCCGUCGUGAAGAGGGAAACAACCCAGACCGCCAGCUAAGGUCCCAAAGUCAUGGUUAAGUGGGAAACGAUGUGGGAAGGCCCAGACAGCCAGGAUGUUGGCUUAGAAGCAGCCAUCAUUUAAAGAAAGCGUAAUAGCUCACUGGUCGAGUCGGCCUGCGCGGAAGAUGUAACGGGGCUAAACCAUGCACCGAAGCUGCGGCAGCGACGCUGAUGCGUUGUUGGGUAGGGGAGCGUUCUGUAAGCCUGCGAAGGUGGCCUGUGAGGGUUGCUGGAGGUAUCAGAAGUGCGAAUGCUGACAUAAGUAACGAUAAAGCGGGUGAAAAGCCCGCUCGCCGGAAGACCAAGGGUUCCUGUCCAACGUUAAUCGGGGCAGGGUGAGUCGACCCCUAAGGCGAGGCCGAAAGGCGUAGUCGAUGGGAAACGGGUUAAUAUUCCCGUACUUGGUGUUACUGCGAAGGGGGGACGGAGAAGGCUAUGUUGGCCGGGCGACGGUUGUCCCGGUUUAAGCGUGUAGGUGUGUGUUCCAGGUAAAUCCGGUUCACUUUAACACUGAGGCGUGAUGACGAGGCACUACGGUGCUGAAGCAACAAAUGCCCUGCUUCCAGGAAAAGCCUCUAAGCAUCAGGUAACAUCAAAUCGUACCCCAAACCGACACAGGUGGUCAGGUAGAGAAUACCAAGGCGCUUGAGAGAACUCGGGUGAAGGAACUAGGCAAAAUGGUGCCGUAACUUCGGGAGAAGGCACGCUGACACGUAGGUGAAGUGAUUUACUCAUGGAGCUGAAGUCAGUCGAAGAUACCAGCUGGCUGCAACUGUUUAUUAAAAACACAGCACUGUGCAAACACGAAAGUGGACGUAUACGGUGUGACGCCUGCCCGGUGCCGGAAGGUUAAUUGAUGGGGUCAGCGCAAGCGAAGCUCCUGAUCGAAGCCCCGGUAAACGGCGGCCGUAACUAUAACGGUCCUAAGGUAGCGAAAUUCCUUGUCGGGUAAGUUCCGACCUGCACGAAUGGCGUAAUGAUGGCCAGGCUGUCUCCACCCGAGACUCAGUGAAAUUGAACUCGCUGUGAAGAUGCAGUGUACCCGCGGCAAGACGGAAAGACCCCGUGAACCUUUACUAUAGCUUGACACUGAACAUUGAGCCUUGAUGUGUAGGAUAGGUGGGAGGCUUUGAAGUGUGGACGCCAGUCUGCAUGGAGCCGGCCUUGAAAUACCACCCUUUAAUGUUUGAUGUUCUAACGUGGACCCGUGAUCCGGGUUGCGGACAGUGUCUGGUGGGUAGUUUGACUGGGGCGGUCUCCUCCUAAAGAGUAACGGAGGAGCACGAAGGUUGGCUAAUCCUGGUCGGACAUCAGGAGGUUAGUGCAAUGGCAUAAGCCAGCUUGACUGCGAGCGUGACGGCGCGAGCAGGUGCGAAAGCAGGUCAUAGUGAUCCGGUGGUUCUGAAUGGAAGGGCCAUCGCUCAACGGAUAAAAGGUACUCCGGGGAUAACAGGCUGAUACCGCCCAAGAGUUCAUAUCGACGGCGGUGUUUGGCACCUCGAUGUCGGCUCAUCACAUCCUGGGGCUGAAGUAGGUCCCAAGGGUAUGGCUGUUCGCCAUUUAAAGUGGUACGCGAGCUGGGUUUAGAACGUCGUGAGACAGUUCGGUCCCUAUCUGCCGUGGGCGCUGGAGAACUGAGGGGGGCUGCUCCUAGUACGAGAGGACCGGAGUGGACGCAUCACUGGUGUUCGGGUUGUCAUGCCAAUGGCACUGCCCGGUAGCUAAAUGCGGAAGAGAUAAGUGCUGAAAGCAUCUAAGCACGAAACUUGCCCCGAGAUGAGUUCUCCCUGAGACUUAGAGUCUCCUGAAGGAACGUUGAAGACGACGACGUUGAUAGGCCGGGUGUGUAAGCGCAGCGAUGCGUUGAGCUAACCGGUACUAA
rnacentral:rRNA from 1 species